rnacentral:rRNA from 1 species
GACGAACGCUGGCGGCGUGCCUAAUACAUGCAAGUCGAACGCAUUUUCUUUCACCGUAGCUUGCUACACCGAAAGAAAAUGAGUGGCGAACGGGUGAGUAACACGUGGGUAACCUGCCCAUCAGCGGGGGAUAACACUUGGAAACAGGUGCUAAUACCGCAUAAUUCCAUUUACCGCAUGGUAGAUGGGUGAAAGGCGCUUUUGCGUCACUGAUGGAUGGACCUGCGGUGCAUUAGCUAGUUGGUGGGGUAACGGCCUACCAAGGCUGCGAUGCAUAGCCGACCUGGGAGGGUGAUCGGCCACACUGGGACUGAGACACGGCCCAGACUCCUACGGGAGGCAGCAGUAGGGAAUCUUCGGCAAUGGACGCAAGUCUGACCGAGCAACGCCGCGUGAGUGAAGAAGGUUUUCGGAUCGUAAAACUCUGUUGUUAGAGAAGAACAAGGAUGAGAGUGGAAAGUUCAUCCCUUGACGGUAGCUAACCAGAAAGCCACGGCUAACUACGUG